GACGAACGCUGGCGGCGUGCUUAACACAUGCAAGUCGAACGGAAAGGCCCUGCUUUUGUGGGGUGCUCGAGUGGCGAACGGGUGAGUAACACGUGAGUAACCUGCCCUUGACUGUGGGAUAACUUCAGGGAACUGGGGCUAAUACCGGAUAGGAGCUCCUGCUGCAUGGUGGGGGUUGGAAAGUUUCGGCGGUUGGGGAUGGACUCGCGGCUUAUCAGCUUGUUGGUGGGGUAGUGGCGUACCAAGGCUUUGACGGGUAGCCGGCCUGAGAGGGUGACCGGCCACAUGGGGACUGAGAUACGGCCCAGACUCCUACGGGAGGCAACAGUGGGGAGUAUUGCACAGUGGGCGGAAGCGUGAUGCAGCAGCGCCGCGUGCGGGAUGACGGCCUUCGGGUUGUAAACCGCUUUCGCAUGUGACGAAGCGUGAGUGACGGUACUGGGUAAAGAAGCACCGGCUAACUACGUG
rnacentral:rRNA from 1 species